rnacentral:rRNA from 1 species
CUACGGGAUGCUCCAGUGAGGAAUAUUGCACAAUGGAGGAAACUCUGAUGCAGCAACGCCGCGUGGAGGAUGACGCAUUUCGGUGUGUAAACUCCUUUUAUAUGUCAAGAAAAUGACGGUAGCAUAUGAAUAAGCACCGGCUAACUCCGUGCCAGCAGCCGCGGUAAUACGGAGGGUGCAAGCGUUAUUCGGAAUCACUGGGCGUAAAGGACGCGUAGGCGGGAUAUCAAGUCAGGUGUGAAAUCCUACAGCUUAACUGUAGAACUGCACUUGAAACUGGUAACCUAGAGUAUGGGAGGGGGAGAUGGAAUUAGUGGUGUAGGGGUAAAAUCCGUAGAUAUCACUAGGAAUACCUAAAGCGAAGGCGAUCUCCUGGAACAUAACUGACGCUAAGGCGUGAAAGCGUGGGGAGCAAACAGGAUUAGAUACCCUAGUAGUC